CGACCUGGAGUCAUUAAAGAACCAUGUACUAAUGUAUGACAGCAAGCGCUUUGCUUUCACACCCCCGGUUUAUGAGGCAAGAGUUCUGCUGGCAGCUAUUGACUACAAUUUCCACCGCAACAGACCAACAAGUACUACAUCUGAGGGCAAACAAAUAUUCCGAAGAGUUUACAACAAACAUGCAAGACGGUACAGCUUGCAGGCUCUGAAGUCUGAGAAAACGUAUGAAUACAUCUCAGAACUGCAGAGAAAAUUUUUAAACAAGAGACUCACAAGUGGAGUUGGGAUGCCUCGAAGAAGAAGCCUUUGGCCCAACGACCCAUGACUUCUUGGUGUUGUCCCCCCUAUACCUGCACCCCCUAUAUCAGAGCUGAUGCAGACACAAGUUAGCAGAGGCCUUGAAUCCGCUUUCCAAGAGACUGCAAAUUAACAAUGAUCCCUAUUGCUGGUCAAUGUUGCUUCAAAGGCACCAUUAAAAAAGGUGUAAAUUGGUGUAAAUUUUAUAAUUUCUGUAAAUA